CCAUAGGGUCCGUUGUGAUACCGAAAAAGGGUUGAUCCAUCCCCGGCGACUACUCCAUGAACUAUUUUGAGCUGUUUAAGAACAGCAGGAGUGGUUUGACGUCGACGGGCUUUAGGUCGGAGAGGUCGUCAAAGAGAGGCUGGCUCGAGUUAGCUGGGCAGUGACAGAGAAGAUGAGACAUUGUCUCCUCCUC